rnacentral:rRNA from 1 species
GUGGGGAAUAUUGGACAAUGGGGGGAACCCUGAUCCAGCCAUGCCGCGUGUGUGAAGAAGGCCUUUUGGUUGUAAAGCACUUUAAGCGAGGAGGAGGCUACCGAGAUUAAUACUCUUGGAUAGUGGACGUUACUCGUAGAAUAAGCACCGGCUAACUCUGUGCCAGCAGCCGCGGUAAUACAGAGGGUGCAAGCGUUAAUCGGAUUUACUGGGCGUAAAGCGCGCGUAGGUGGCCAAUUAAGUCAAAUGUGAAAUCCCCGAGCUUAACUUGGGAAUUGCAUUCGAUACUGGUUGGCUAGAGUAUGGGAGAGGAUGGUAGAAUUCCAGGUGUAGCGGUGAAAUGCGUAGAGAUCUGGAGGAAUACCGAUGGCGAAGGCAGCCAUCUGGCCUAAUACUGACACUGAGGUGCGAAAGCAUGGGGAACAAACAGGAUUAGAAACCCCAGUAGUCC